rnacentral:miRNA from 1 species
AUAUAAUCGGCAUAUAACC